CCUGAAAAAUGAUAGGUCAAGUAUUAAACCGUGAUUCUCGCAAAGGUGUGAACAAACCUGACGUUUCACUUGUGUAUCGUUCCUCAGGCUUCACUGAAGAAAGCAGUACCCGCAACUUCUCCCCCUUCCUUCCCAGCAGGAAAGUCUAUCCGGGAGACAAGGGGAGGUUCACUGGGAAGAAGAAUUUCAAAUCUGUGCUUUACUGUUUCACUUAAAUGAAACAUCUCUUGUGUUUUGGGAUGGAGAUUGGUAAAGCAGUAAAUUUACUGGUUUCCUCCUUUGCUUCUUUUGGUGGUAGGAAUUGGUGCUCUUAAUGCAAACUAAAUGUUUACACGACAGGUGGUUGCUCUUGAUUUUUUUUCGAACAUAACAAAGGAUUUGCAUUAAGUUUGAAGAGAAGCCAAGUUUUCUAAGAGAGUUUAUUCAGAGUAAACUUCUGGAAUCUUGAUUUUGGACUGUGUCUCAACACGUAAGACCCAAAGACCUCUGGCUUUCAUUUUUGUGGAAUAUUUUAGUAAUCAUGUAGCUUAUUCCAUUUGAUGAAAUGGGAAGCUCAGACACAUUCUCUAAAACUACUUUUUAAAGUGAGGCCAUACAGGUUACACAGCCACAUGUGAGCUUUGGGCUCCAGUGUCAGAGACCCUGGGGAAACGUGGGACGUGUGUCACCUCUGGCAAGAAGACAGGGCUGCUGCAGCUCAAGGCAGGUAGGUUACCACCCACACUCUCCAGCGCAGUUCCUUCAGUCAAACAGAUCGGGGAAGGGGUCAAAAACAAGCACUUGACCAGACACUGGAUAGGAGUCUGUAAAACGCAAGUGCUGUUUUAACGAACUGUAGAAAUUGGGCAGUUUCUCAUCAGAAUGGUCACUUUCACUUACCUCCUUAACAGAGCGUAACGACAUAACAGGAAGGAGCACAAAGGAAAUAGCAUUCUCAAAACUGUGAGUAAAUCCGAUGUUUCAAGCACUCCAGUGUCAGUGUAUUUCUGACUACAUCUUGUGUGUGUGCGUGUGUAUGUAAACAUUUUUUCAAGUGAGGACCCAUUUGGUUUUAGGUUUAGCAGUGUUACUUGAAUGCAUGCACAGGUGAGUGAGUGGUAACCAAAGAAUUUCUUUGUCACCCAGGAAGGUACUUCCAAAAAUGUUCAUGGAAAAUGUGUACCAUAAAAAAACUAAGCAUGGAUUUCAGAAUUUUCUGCACCAAAUAAAGAACAGCUUCACGUCCAUAAAUAUAGAAACUACCGACAGUGUAACUCAUGCUUUAAAAACAGUUUGAUUUCAGAAGCUAAGUGAGUUUAAAAAAAGAAAAGCAGCAGUGGCUUUACUUACCCCAGACAAGGACAAUGUAUCUCAGUGGAAUGAAGUACAGGAUGAGUGUGAACACACACAAGGCUACAAUCGCCAGCCAGCUUAAGAAUGGGACGGUCCAGUUGAAAGUACUGAAUGGAAAAUUAACACAUCAGCAAUUUCAAACACUUCAUACCUUUUUCAAACAAAUAUUCAAAUAAAUGUGAUGCUAACUUGAAACUGCAUUUCUCUCUGGACUGGAAUCCCAGUACAGUAAGCUACCAGAAGAUAAAACCCAGAGCCCAAGUCAAAGGUCAAUUGUUUCCGAGAACUGUUUUCUGGUUGAAGAGCCAACAUUGGGUCCAUCUGCUGAUCCUGUUUUCAGUAACCCUUGGGGUCUGGCUUUGCUCCUUGUCUCCUCACGGCCAGAGCGAGCAUCCUGUAGCUGUCACCAGGAAGGAAAUUGUCAGAACUUUCAUAAAACCUAAGGCUGGCAGAGACAAAUAAUGAUGAAACUGAGCAACAGACCACCCAGAAGGAAUGUCCCCUGCCAAAAAGAACCUGGCACUUCACCCUCUUAGACAAACAUGGACACGCUGCCCCGCACAAGGCCGGGACUCUCAGUCAGCAUCACUCACUU